rnacentral:misc_RNA from 1 species
UAGUGGUCCUGAACAGAGUGG